rnacentral:rRNA from 1 species
UACAGAGGUCCCGAGCGUUGUUCGGAUUCAUUGGGCGUAAAGCGCACGUAGGCGGAUUUUUAAGUCAGGGGUGAAAUCCCGGGGCUCAACCUCGGAGCUGCCUUUGAUACUGGAGAUCUUGAGUCCGGAAGAGGUAAGUGGAACUGCGAGUGUAGAGGUGAAAUUCGUAGAUAUUCGCAAGAACACCAGUGGCGAAGGCGGCUUACUGGUCCGGAACUGACGCUGAGGUGCGAAAGCGUGGGGAGCAAACAGG